AGUAACACGUGGAUAACCUACCUAUAAGACUGGGAUAACUUCGGGAAACCGGAGCUAAUACCGGAUAAUAUUUUGAACCGCAUGGUUCAAAAGUGAAAGACGGUCUUGCUGUCACUUAUAGAUGGAUCCGCGCUGCAUUAGCUAGUUGGUAAUGUAACGGCUUACCAAGGCAACGAUGCAUAGCCGACCUGAGAGGGUGAUCGGCCACACUGGAACUGAGACACGGUCCAG
rnacentral:rRNA from 1 species